rnacentral:lncRNA from 1 species
AAAACGUCCCUUCCUUCAGGUGUGUAUAUAAGUUACUGUACUGUGUGGGAGGGUCACGAUCUCACUAGGUGCAGAAGAUUCCCCAGGAUUAACCCCUCCUCUCCCUACCCCUUCUGCAACUUGUUGAGGAUUUUAUACACACACGCGCGCAGGCACGGGCACACGGGCACACACACACACACGGACGGGAGAGCAAGGAGAAAGCGAGCUCCGCGGAGUCCGGCUGCCCCCCGACGCCGUUGUGAUUGGAUGGUCUUUUCAUGGAGAGGGGACGUCUCAAGUCGAAGUCACGAUUUCUCCUCAGUUUGGAACCAUCUGUGACUGGAGCCAUGACGCAGCCAGAGCACAUUACUCACUUUUACAGUCACGACUUGGAAAUCCGUGCAGUUUCCAACCAAAAUUACACCGCCACCAUUGAAUUAUUUAAUAGGAUCCAGUUAAGGAUUAGAGCCAUUGCAUGCGGUCUUGGCCAGGAGGUGCUCUCACCCCAGCCCAGUGUGCUGUGCUAUACUGAUGUUCAUGGCUGCAUCAUGCCAUUGUCUGCAGGAUCCGCAAUUGUUGCUGGGCUUUGUGUGGUCUCAGUCUGCGGCUAAGCCCCCUUCCACGGCGGUUUCGGAGGGGAUACCAUUGUCCGGGAUAACGCGGUGCUGCAUGUGAGUGCCAGACGGUGUUUCCUUGUCUCUUUUAAUGCAAUCUGAUGACAUGCCUUUGCUAGCCGGAAUGCCUGCGAACAUGCAUGCUCGUAGCCUAGCGAGAACUUCCCUGGCUCCCAGAAGCGGUGAGGGGGUGACGGGUGGUUGCAGCACAGAGGUAACCCUACACAGCUACUCCGUAUACACCACAACAAUCCCCUACUACUUCGCCUCUAAUUCAGUCAUUUCACCAACUCCGCUGGUGAGGGUAUGACUAAGGACGCGAAGGACGGGCAAUAAUAAAAACAGACGCUCGCACA